rnacentral:lncRNA from 1 species
AGCCAGGUGCCGGGACUUGGCGUCAGAAGACAGCUGUGAGGCUUUUCUCUGCCACCGGCAGUGAUGGGCAUGAACGCUAUCCUGAGAUUCCUGGAACAGAUGUAGUGUCAUAUGAAAGUAGCUGUGAUUUCUAACUGGUGACCAAGUACCAGGAUUUGUUGCCAUUUAUAACCCCCUGGGUGCUAUCAGAUGUGCUGAAUGCUGGAAGAAUCAAUACUCUAAUCUUUGGUUCCAGAGAAUCUGACUCAGGUUCAUGAAAAAUCGGAACUUUCUCUGGUGCGAGCUUUGCUUAUAACUUUGGCAUAGGGGACCAGGAAAGUCUCACGGAUGCAAAGAGACAUCGGUGACAGACAUUUGGGUGGUUCCCACCUGACUCACUUCAUGAAAGAAUAUCUCUGGGCCCCAUGUGGAGGCUCAAAAGAGCAGAGCUGGGAGACCAGGGAGGAUGUAGCUGCAGGAAUCCCAGGAAUGCAGGAGCCGAGUGACGAUGACCUGUGGAUGAGCAGCCUGGGAUGCCCCUGUCCCCAGCCUCUUCAACCUGACACAAGUUUGCAUUCUAUGCUCUCUUUCUUUGGAACAAGGAUUGACUCCUAAGUGGCAUCUGGAGAAGGCCGAGCUUCCUGCAGGGACCUGAAGAGGGUUUUUAGAAACAGAAACGGAGUCAUCAGAUUGCUCACAGUGGCCAAAUCUUGCCCUAAAGUCAAAGCUCUGAAGCACUGCACUAAAGAGCUCUUGGAACACCCGUGGAUUCCCAAGGAAAGGAAUGGAUAAAGUUAAGCCAUGAUGACCUUGUUGAAUCCAGCCAUUCUGCAAGUGCCUGUUUUGACUUUAGGGAUGGAAGUCCUUCCAGGCAUGCCAAGAGGGAAGGAAACAUGGCAGGUGCACUGGCUUUGAAGUUGCCGUGGUGGUUGCAAUCCUGCAUCUGUCUGUUCCUGAUGGGGUGACCUCAGGUAGAGGAAAAUGUGAUUUGGAGACAUAGACACACAUGGAGUGUGACGAUGGAGGCAGCGAGUGGAGCGAUGCAGCUGCCAGCUGAGGAGUGCCAAGGGUUGAUGGUCACCAUCGGAAGCUAGAGGAGGCAAGGGGGGCUCUGUCUGGAGUCUCAGAGGGACAGCAGCCUUGAUUUUGGACUUCUUGCCUCCAGAAAGUUGGCAAGAAUUUCCAAGGCAUCUCAUCAACAACUUCUGAUAAAUGAGGAAGUGGAGGCUGAAUUAUAGUUCCACAGCAUCGGGAGCCAGAAGCGAGGUGGGAAUCCAAGUCUUCCGGAUUCCCAGCUCCGUGAUUCGUGCCUGUCACAAAUUUGGGACCAAAAGCCACCUGUCUGUGGGAUUAACAACAGUCGAGGCUAUGACUGACAUCGUGCCCUAGCGAGUGCACAGGUCUGGCCAGCUGGGCGGCUGGACCUGGCUCUCUCGCCUUGGGUCCGUUCAGCCCAUUUUGUGGAUGGAUCAGGUGAAGUGUGGCUCCUGGGGCUGCUGGCUGCUUUCCAGUGUGCGGUUGCCAAGCAUGUGAAUGAGGCUUUCCUGAGCCACAGCUUCCAUGGCGCAUGCCGGAGGAACCCUCGCAUGGAACCUAAGGGCGCCAGAGGCGGAGUUGGAGGCGUGGUAUUGGGGGAUCCUGGGGAUGCGUGUUGGGGGCUGGGUGGGUGCUAGGAGAGAGGAAAGAACUGGACCCACCUGGAAGACCAGCCAGGUGUGGGUCAGAAGCUAUAAACAUGAGAGGGCUCGAGGAAUUCUCAUAGUGCUUUCUGGAGCCGGGGAAAAGAGGGCUGGCCAGGAGGCCCCCACGUUUCUCUCCACCAUCCUGCAGUCUUCAUUUUCCCUCCAAAUGGGAGGGUUCCCCGCAGCUGGCCAGCCCGCCGUGGCACAGACUGUGUUUCUCUUCUUUGAGUGCCACACGAAAAACACUGAAUAGAUGCCGACAGGUUGGAUGCCUCAGCGUGCAUUCCCAGGACUUUAUGAGAUGAUCCACUGAAGGAUUUCAGCAAGAACAUUCUGGAGUGUCAACUGAUACGUUUUUCAGUCUCAGCUUGCUCACUGUUUGAGUAGUGUCACAUGUACAUGCGUGUUAUUAGAGGCGAAUGCACGUUUUUGUUACUGAGAGAGUGGCCCUAGAGCAGAUGCCAGCGAACUGCAGCCCACAGCCCGAAUCUAGCCUGCCGCCUCUUUUCAUGUGGCUCACAAGCUAGUCAUAGUAUUAUAUUUUAAUAGUGUGGGAAAACAUCAGAAGAAGAACAAUAUUUUGUGGAACAUGAAAAUUAUAUGUUUACAUUUUAGCAUCCAUAAACGUGGUUUCAUUAGAACACACUUCUAUGGUUUGAAUGUCCUCUCCAAAACUCAUGUUGAAACUUAGUCUCUAACGUCACUAUAUUAAGAGAUAGGGCCUUUAAGAAGUGAUGGGGGCAUGGGAACUCUGCCCUCAUGAAUGGAUUAAUCUAUUCAUGGAUUAAUGGAUUAAUGCAUUAAUGGAUUGGUGGUUUAUCAUCGCAAGGAAACUGGCAGUUUUGUAAGAAGAGGAAGGGAGACAGUGGCAGGGAAACUGGCGGCUUUGUAGCAAGAGGAAGUGAGACUUGAGUCCUCUCACCACAGGUUGCCCUGCACCAACCACCACAGGACUCUGUAGAGAGUCCUGGCUAGCAAGAGGAUCUUCACCAGAUGUGGCCUCUUGACCUGAGACUUCUCAGCCUCCAUAACUGUAAGAAAUAAAUUCCUUUUCUUUAUAAAUGACCCAGUUUUAGGCAUUCUGUUUUAAGCAACAGAAAAUUAACUAAGACAAUGCUCAUGCCCAUUCACUACAUAUUAUCCACGGCUGUUGCCUGCAUUUUGAUGGCAGAGUUGAGCAGUUGCAACAAAGACCAAAUGGGCCAGUAAAAGCCGAAAAUAUUUACUAUGUGGUUCUUACAGAAAACACUUGCCAACCCCUGCCCUAAUCACUGGCUUCAUUUCCUGGGACAAUGUUUCUGUACUUAUCCAACUUUGUGGAUAGCAUUUUUUUUUUUUUGAGAUGGAGUCUCGCUCAGUCACCCAGGCUGGAGUGCAGUGGCACGAUCUUGGCUCGCUGCAACCUCCACCUCCCAGGUUGAAGAAAUUCUCUGCUCAGCCUCCCAAGUAGCUGGAAUUACAGGCGCUCACCACCAUGCCCUGCUAAUUUUUGUAUUUUUAGUAGAGACGGUGUUUCACCAUCUUGGCCAGGCUGGUCUUGAACUCCUGACCUUGUGAUUCACCCACCUUGGCCUCCCAAAGUGCUGGGAUUACAGGCGUGAGCCACUGUGCCUUAAUAAACUUUCUCAAAUAACUUACAUAUAUAUCGAAUGAGUAACCCCCCUCAGUAAUUUUACCUGGGAUUAGGGAAGAGGCAUUAGAAGAAGGCCAGGGAAAACAUCUUGAAGCCAGCAGACUGUGAAAAGUCAAGAAGCUGAACAAAGAGUUGAUUUGGUGGGCUGUGAAUGAGCUUGAGGGCAGGCCAUGUGUGUCCUCCUUUAAUCUGCUACUGUCUUUGUAUGGAUGUUGAUACUGUAGUCAGCCAGUGGUUACAGAGUCACCUCAGCCUCAUAUUAGUGUCAUGCUGCCUUGUACUAUACUUACUGAGCACUUCCUUCCCCAGGAGCCCGCAGCUCUACGCUCAAAUUUAUUUCUCCCCUUAACAUUCCUGGGAGAGGGGCUUUCCUUGGAUACAAUCUCUUGUGAUCAAUUCACUUUUUAGGUACAUGAAAUUUUAAAAAGAGACAAACCCUCAUCAGAAAUGGGAGAACCUUUCAGCAAAGCCCAGGUGGCUGUUCACAGGUAUUUGCUGGUUGUUUUUUUUUUUUUUUUUUUUGAGACGGAGUCUCGCUCUUUUGCCCAGGCUGGAGUGCAAUGGUGUGAUCUUGGCUCACUGCAACCUCUGCCUCCCGGGUUCAAGUGAUUCUCCUGCCUCAGCCUCCUGAGUAGCUGGGAUUACAGGAGCAGGCCACCACACCUGGCUAAUUUUUGUAUUUUUAGUAGAGAUGGGGUUUCACCAUGUUGGUCGGGCUGGUCUCAAACUCCUGACCUCGUGAUCUGCCUGCCUCUGCCUCGCAAAAUGCUGGGAUUACAGAUGUGAGCCACCACACCCAGCCUAUUUGCUGUUUGAAUGUAGGUGAAUGACUGGGUCCAGCCCCAUUUAUUGAUUCCAAAGUUGACCCUUACUUGUCUGACUCUUAUUUGAUCAGCUACUCUGCUAUUUUAUAUAGGAAGAUUUAGAUUCCAGGAACCCUGGUUAUCUCAAAGUUUUGAUGAGCACAACAGGCUUCUGCCAUCAGGUAAGUGUUCAUCUUACUUAACAAGAUUUUUUUUUUUUUUUUGGUGGAUGUCCAAAAUAGAAGUUCUUGAGAACCCAGGUGAGAGGGUGCAUGUGGGUUUAGGCAACUGGUCAGCCCCCCAAAAUAAGAUCCGGUAAAGGCAUGACAGACAGAGGCUCUGGUGCAGGAAGUAGCUUAUUCCAAAUGUUAGGAGGAAACAAAGUAAGUGGCUGGAUUGUGAAUCCGUGUAAUUUAUCAGUGGAUACUACAGUUGGAUGAUAAGUAGAAAACCUCAGAGAGCUGAAUGAGAAAAGAAAUGGUUCUGAUGAGGAAGGCCUAACUCAGAGAAGAUGGAAGAUUUUAUUCUGGGAGGAAGAAUAGACUUAGUAACAUGAAUGGACUUCACCAGCUCAGAAGCCCUCUGGAGUUCUGAGUCAACUGCUUAUUAAUACAGUGUUACGUAAUGACUUAAGGAUGCACAACGUAAACUUUCCAGAAAAGCAAAAACCACAAAAGUGGGCAGAACCUUAAUUUCUCCUUUGUUUGCUGAUUCGUGGAGGCUCACAUGAUUUCUUUUAAGGCUGGUGCAGCCCCUCCACUGGCGUCCAAGAAACGGAAAUCUCCCAAUGUUAGUAAUCCCGUCAGAAGUUUCGGUUUUCGUGGAAAACAUGCCUGGUGGCCUACGUGGGGCCUCCAGGCCACACACCUCCACUCCAUGAAGCUGUCUCUCUCAGGAUGCACGGGUGACAAUAUGUUCAGAUGGAUGCUUUGAAUCCAGGGCCCCAACCCCCAGCCUGCUGAGACACGACACCAAUACUGUGAUUGCCUGAAAAAGAUAAUUGGCUCAUACUUCUCUCAAUAUUAAAAGUUUAAAAAAUAUGUGAAAUGAAAAUGCUAGAGAAAUGAAUUCAAAAAGUCCAAAUCCAAAAUAAUCUAAUCUGAUUAUUAUUUUCAAUUUUGAAUAUUAAUUUAUAGAAGUCUUAAAGCACUGCCAGUCAUGGUGCUCACAUGUUGUUUGCACAUAGACCACCUCACAAUGAAUGAAAUGAUCGGCUCCUUCUUUCACUAGGGGCACAAAGUCACGACCUGGCUUGUCCCUGGGAUUUGCCUGCUGUGUGUUCCCUCGUCUUCAUGAGAGAGGUUCAGGCAGAGAAUCCUGCCUGGAUUCCCACGUCUGUACAGUGCCAGGCACCUGACAGUGGAGGGCUGUGAUAUGAUUUGGCUGUGUCCCCACCCAAAUCUUAUCUUGAAUUGUACUCCCAUAAUUCCCAUGUGUUGUGGGAGGGACCCAGUGUGAGAUAAUUGAAUCAUGGGCGCAGUUUCCCCCUUACUGUUCUAGUGGCAGUGAAUAAGUCUCAUGCCAUCUGAUGGUUUUAUAAGGGGAAACCAGGCCGGGCGCAGUGGCUCACGCCUGUAAUCCCAGUACUUUGGGAGGCCAAGGUGGGUGGGUCACGAGGUAAGGAGAUGGAGACCAUCCUGGCUAACAUGGUGAAACCCCGUCUCUACUAAAAAAAGAAAAGAAAAAAAAAAUUAGCCGGGCAUGUUGGCGAGCACCUGUAGUCCCAGCUACUCUGGUGGCUGAGGCAGGAGAAUGGCGUGAACCCAGGAGGCAGAGUUUGCAGUGAGCCGAAAUCGCAUCACUGCACUCCAGCCUGGGCGAUAGAGCGAGACUCUGUCUCAAAAAAAAAACCAAAAAACAAGAAAAAGGGGUGGUUCUCAUUCUCUUUCUUGCCUGCCGCCAUGUAAGAUGUGACUUUUGCCUUCUGCUAUGAUGUGAGGCCACCCCAGCCACGUGGAACCGUGGGUCCAUUAAACCUCUUUUCUUUAUAAAUUACCCAGUCUUGGGUAUGUCUUUGUCAGCAGCAUGAAAAUGGACUAAUACAGGCUGCACCCUGGUCCUGCCUUCUGCUGUGUUUCCCUGAGGCAGCAAAGCCUCCUAUGAAACGUGUCUUCCUUUACUGUCUGCCUCACCUCCUCACUCCAUUUAUUCCGCGUUUCACUGCCACUUCUAUGAUGAGCCGCUGCUUUGGAAGGGUCCCCUAAAUGGUCUGCUGAUGGCUUGGCCUUCUGAGCCUCCCUCACUCCCUGUGCACUGGGGUAGGCCCCUUCUCCUGCAGACAGGCUCUCAGGCCACAGGGAAUGGGUAUGGAAUGGCAGGUGUGGCCGGAAACAUGGGGAUGUGUGAGGAGUGUGUGCAUGUGGGGUGUGUGAAUGUGAGCAUGUGUGUGUGCAUGUGAUGUGUGUGUGAAUGUGAGAGUUUGAGAGAGUGCAUGUGGGGUGUGUGAAUGUGUGUGAGCGUUUGAGAUUGUGCAUGUGUGUGUGCAUGUGAUGUGCGUGUGAAUGUGUGUGAGAAUUUGAGAGUGCAUGUGGUGUGUGCAUGUGUGUGUGAAUGUGUGUGAGAGUGUGCAUGUGGUGUGUGUGAAUGUGAGCAUUUGAGUGUGCAUGUGUGUGUGUGCAUGUGGUACAUGAAUGAAUGAGAAUGUGUAUGUGUGUAUUGGGAAAGUGAGUGUGAUUGUGUAUGUGUGAGUGUAUGUGAGCAUAUGUGAGUGCAAGUAUAUGUGCAGGUGUUCAUGUAUGUGUGUGUGUGUGCAUGUGAAUGCAUAUGUGUAUGUUGGUGAACAUCAGCCCGAGAGUGUGGACACCAGAGUGAGUGAGAGUGUGUAUGAGUGAGUGCAGGCGUGAGUGUGAGCAUGAGUGUGAGUGUGUGAGUGUGAGCAUGAGUGUGAGUGUUAGCGUGAGUGUGAGCGUGUGAGCAUGAAUGUGAGUGUGUGUGCGUGAGUGUGUGUGUGAGGGGUGAGGUUGCAGUAGGUGUCUUACUCAUCUAACUUUGUCGGUGGAACAGGCGCUCCCCUCCCAUCUUGAGGUGCCCUGUGCGGUGAGCUCCGGGCUUCUGAGGACAAGAGUGUGGCAGAGGGCGCCACUUAUGGCAUGAGUGAAGUCUGCUGGUGGCUGCUGUAAGCUGUGUGUCACGUUGCCUUACAGGCACAUUCUAUAAAGGAAAUUGGUUUGCUUUUCCUUAAAUGAGACUAGGGAAGCUAGGGGUAGGGUGACAGGUAGCUGGAGAUGAGGAUUUUCUCACUCGCUCCUCGAAUUGUACUGUUGGGUGAAUGGGCAGGUGCAUGAGGGGUCAGUGGUAGGUGCACUGGGUGCAGAGCCCCACUGCACAGGGUCCCUCUGACCCACCUGGGCCAGUCCCAUGCCAGCCCCUUCCCAGGUGCUUUUACCUCCAGCAUCUUCCGAUCUGCUCAAACUUCCAGCAGUGGGGUCUUUGGGGGUCCUCAGGGCUCUGUCCUGGAUGUGCCUUGAACUCCAGCCUGUUUCCUUUAGGGCCUCCACAGCCUCCCGGGGCCCCAAUAACCUCCAUAUGCCUGUACUGCCCUGGCUGUACCCCUGCUCGUUCUUCUUGUCUGAGCUCCACACCUGUGUGUGUGUCUGCACAUCCUGCACCCACCUCCCCACACUGCUUCUCAGAACCUGCAUAACUCCCUGCCAUGAAUAAUUCUAUGUGGCAACUUGACUGGGGCAUGGGGUGCCCAGAUACUUGGCCUAACCUGAUUCCGGGCAUUUCUGUGAGGCUGUUUUUGGAUGAGUUUAUCACUUAAGGUGAUGAGUGCGCAAAGUAGAUUGUCCUCCCCAGUGUCGGGGGGCCUCAUGAGAUCAGCUGAGGGUCCCGAGCUGAGUAGAACACGGCUGGCCCUCCCCCAGGUAAGAGAGAAUUCCUCCUGCCUGCCGGCCUUCGAGCUAGCUCAUGGGCUUUUUCCUGCCUUUGGACUAGGACUGAAACACCAGCUUUUCCUGGGUCUUGAGCCUGCAGCUUUUGGACUGGAACCUACACUCUGGGCUCUCCUGGUUCUCAGGCCUUUGAACUCAGAUGGGAACUGUACCCUUAGCUCUCCUGGGUGUCCAGCUUGCUGACCACAGAUCUUGGAACUUCUCUGCCUCCAUAAUCACGCAAGCCAAUUCGUUGUAAUACAUCUCUAUCUGUCUAUGUCUUCUAGGUUAAGUUUCCUGGAGAAUUCUGAAGGAUAUGCCCCCUUCCUCUCCUACAGCUCAGAGUUGUUCUGUGCACUUGGAUCAGCCUCCACAACUUCCCCCCGGGACAGGGCACCCAUCACCAUCUCCUACCUGGACAGCAGCAAACACUGCCCCCGUGACUUCCUGGUGCCAUCCUUGGCUCCAUUACGUCCAUUCUCCAGUGGCUGGCAGAGUGAGCUUGAAGAACGUGUGACAUGCCCUUCAGAAUGUUCUACUUCCUGUUCCAGAAGGACAGCCCCUCAUGCCUUCCCGCGGGCCACACGCCACCUCUUCCUCAGUGCCCCAGCCUGGCAUCCUCUUCCUGCAUUCAGCCUUCUUUUCCGAGGUGUCAUCUUGCUGGAGGGCAGAAGGAUUCCCUGGAACCUGGGGGCCAGCAGGACAGAGGAAACAGAAAGUACAUGACCGAUGAUGUCUUUCGACCACAGAAAGGGCUGGAAGAAGCAGGGGACCUACUGUUUGAAUAAACCCAGUGGAAAAACAGAAGCCCCAUUUCAUACUUGACUCAGCUCUUCAAGUUUAAAUCUUGAAUCUCCUCAACUACACGGAACAGUGUCUCUCCCAAGUCAUCUGACACCCACUCUGUUCUCUGGAUCAUUCCUUCCUAGAGAACGUUGCUCUUGGAGGGCUGUGAUCUGCUCUCACCCACUUGCCUUUCUGACCCACUGAGUGCAUCUCAACAGUCACUUGGGGUGAUCCGAUCUGACCAGGAAGGGUUGGGUGGCUCGUGGAGCUUGGGAAGCACUCUCACUGUGGCGGUCCCCAUUGGUGGUCAUGGGGUUGCCACAGUGAGCUACGUUUCUACCCUCAUCUCUCUAUAUGUUACCGUGGAAUCUCUGACUGAGGACCCAUGGGCUCACCCAAUGUGAUAAAGUCCUGAAGCUCAGCCGGGACGUCCGACCCCAGCUGCAGGACUUUCCAAUAGACAGAUGCAUAGAACUUGAGAAGAAAUCGACUUAGAAACCUGAAGUUGGAAAACUGGUUGCCUGACAUUCUGUGCAAGACUGAAUCUCUGAGAAAUGAAGGCUGUGUAACUUUGGGACCAUGUCUUUUCCAGCCUACAUAGACCCCCAGGAAACUUUGCAGUUGUUCCCCAAGUAUGGAUGGAGUCAAACUUGAUGUCCUUUCAUCCCCCCAUCCCAUCCACUAAUCCAUAUCCUUUGGAAAUUUUAGAGUGCCGGGCCUCAUGUAAAUACACCAAAAACAAUUUAAGUCAUUUAUGUUCUACUAAGCCAAGAGUUCUUUAGCGGUGGAAGAAGAUGGGGUCUUACACGAAUGGAAGGGUCUUGGCUAUUUGCGUCGGUAUCAACAGAAGGACUAGACGCUUGCACUAAAAGAAAAAGCUGAGGGAUGGGGGCAGGAAGCGGGAAGCUGGGACCCAAGCCCCACCUUCCUGAGUUGGAAGGUGACAGGUAGACUCCUGCUUGUUUGCCAGAGAGGCCUGGCAGAGGAGGUGAGUACACGACAUUGCUAAGUGGAUUGAGUAAUGUCCCCCGCAAAUUCAUGUCUAACCAGAACCUCAGAAUGUGGCUUUAUUUAGAAGCAGGGUCUUUGCAGAUGUUAAGUCAAGAUGAGGUCAUAGUGAAUUAGAGUGGCCCCAAAUCCAAUGCCUGCUCUCCUUCUAGGAAGGGGAGAGAGACACAGGGAGAAGGCCGCGUGAAGCUAGAGGCAGAGAUGAGGGCGGUGCAGCCACGGCCAAAGAAUGCCGAGGAUGGUGGCUGGGACAGGCAGGGAAGGUUCCUCCCUGAGCCUUCAGGGGAGCGUGGCCCUGCCACUGCCUUGUUGCCAGACUUCUGCCCUCCAGAACUAUGAAAGGAUAAAUUUCUGUUGUUUCAAGAACAAAAGAAUUAACACCUAGUUUGUGGUCAUUUUUAUAGCAGCCCUAGGAAAUGCAUACAGCUGGGGAGACCUUCUUCCAGGGACCUGCCUCUGAAAGCAUAAAAGCAAGUGCCUUCCAGCAUCUGGCAGGGUGAUGGCCCAGCCUCGGCACUCCCCCACCCUCCUGCCAAUCCCCCUGCCCCCCCGGGCCCCCCGCCUCCCCCCCCCCCCCGCCCGCUUCCUGCUCAAGGCUCUGUGGCUGCUGGCAAGGCCUCUGUAGGGAAUAGGUUCAAGAGGAGGCCUGGCGUGGUGUCGGCCCAUGGUCCAUGCUGGACAGACAGCUUGGCUUACUGCGGUGGCCUUUUUCCUCUUUGUGAGCGUGUGCUGGAGAGAGAAAGGCAAGGGAGGAAGUAGAGGAGGCCGGGUCUGCAGAGCUGAGGAAACCGAUGUAAACACUCUGAGAAACAGCCACUCAGCGGGUGUGAGAGUUGGCCUGAAUGCCGUGGACAGGGCUCUACGGAGGGGGCUGGAGUGGGAGACCUUCGUCGUCACAGCUCUGCCCCUCACUAUGUGACCCAAACAGGGUACACUUCCCAGCUGCCUCAGUCUCCUCAUCUGAGGAAUGGGCUGAUUCACACAAUAUCACAUCCGAGGGUGUGCUGAGGAUGUCAUACACAUAUCCCUGGCAAGGCUGCUGGGAGGACAGAGUGAGUGAGCAGGUGCAAGACUAUUGUCUCUCUGGUCCGUGCUGUAAAACAGUAGCUGCUAGAGGAUUGCAGUGAUAUUGUCGUUUCCUUAGUAACAGAUGUUGCUGUUUGGGAAAUUCCUACAGCCAACGGCCAAGCUCCUGGCAUUUAAUGCUGGUGUCUCCAAAGAUUGGUUCUCAUCUCUUGAGGGCUUGUUUUUAAUGAGGGCACACUCGUGCCCCCAGAGCAUGCAGGUUGAUGUCACACGCAGCCCUGAAUCACACUGUGGUACCGAAUCACACUGUGGUACCACGUUUCCCUGACGUAAAGCUAGGAGAGGAACGAUGUGACCAUCCCAAAUGUUCCAGUCACCCUGACCUUUAACCCUGGAUUCUAAGAAGGCUCCAGAUGUUUUUUGUGGUUAGAGCUCCCAGAAAAUGACUCCUUCCUCUAUGAGACAUUAUCUGAUGACAAGAAGAUUCUGAGCAAUGUGGGGGAGUGAGAAUAUUUUCAUAAUAUCUGCCAUUAGAAUGACUUAGAAAUGGAAGACCCAGGUUCAGAAAUUAGGAUCCCAUGCACACUGUACUCUUGUGAGGAGGUGCAGAAGUUAUCUCUUCCCUUGGUAAUCCUCUUUCUUAGAACUCGGAUAUUUAUCAACCACCUAACUGGCUGCUUGAAGGAUGGACACCUUUUUUUGUUUUGCAAAGAAAGGAAGUUGCAAAAGGUCACAAAGCAACUCCAUAUCCUUUGGAAAUUUUAGAGUGCCAGGCUUCAUGUAGAUAAACCGAAAACAAUUUAAGUCUUUUAUGUUGUACUAAGUCAAGAGUUCUUUAGCAGUGGAAGAAGAUGGGGUCUUACAUGAAUGGAAGGGUCUCGGCUAUUUGCAUUGGUAUCAAGAGAAGGACUAGAUGCUUGCUCUAAAAGAAAAAGCUGAGGGAUGGGGACAGGAAGCGGGGAGCAAAUCUGAGACUGAAUAAAUGUAAAUAAAAGAGCUAAGAUUGUUGAGCAGGUGCUAGGAGCUGGGUCAGAUUUUAUUCCCAAGAAAUCUUAAUUAUUCUGCCUCCUCCUAGAUAGGGAACGUGUUGCUUACCUUUGCAUCCACACCUGGCUCGCACCAACCAUGCAACCAAUAAUUGUUCAUCUGAUGAAGGUUGUCAAAGGCUUGGACAACCCUUCAGUAACUCUUUAAGGGAAACCACCCACCCAUUUCAUCUUAUCGGCUUGGCUUUCAGUAUUUAUCAUGUCAGUGACUCUUUAUCCCAGACCCGAGGUUGAUUUUGGUCACCUGGCGGGGUCAUUAGAGCCGUGAUGUCAUCACACACCUGGCCCAGCUGGUUGGGACUGGGGCUUCGAUGCUGUAUGUGCGACCAGGCUUGUUAGGCUCAGCAGAGAGCUGGCAUCCUGGCCACUGGCUGGGGUCAGGGUUUCCCAGCAGGGCGUCUCCUUCCUGGGAACACCCUCUUCUCCCCACCUUUGGUCUCCUCUCCUGCAUCUGGCACCCAGAACCUCCCUGGGCCUUCUCUAUCCCUCCAACCACCUGCCUGGACUUAGCUGGCUUCCACAUUCAGCAAGGAGAGGGGUGAGGGGCUAGAGGGUAGGGCCCGGCCUGGGGUCUUCUGAUGCCCCAUGCUGUGACUUGGCCCUUGUAGCUGCUGCUCUGCCUCUGGGCCGGAUCAGUGGGAGGUGGAGGCCCUGGAAGGAGGUGCAGUGGCUCUAGGGUUCUACUGGCAGCAGCAUGAGUCUAGCGCAUCAUUGUCAAAGGAAAUAAUUACAGGCCGGAGACGCAGUUCCUUGUGGCCUGAUUUGGGCCAUGACGUCUCCCAGAAAGCCUCUUCUGAGGUGAGAGAUUUUGAUAAUCCCAAGGGCAACAGGUUUCCUCUUUGCACCUCAUUACCAUUUUUCUUGGCUUAGAAAUGAAUGUCAGCCCCGGUCAAUGUACAUUCUGUGUCAUUUAAGAAUUACUAAUAUAUGGGUGGAAUUACACUAAUAUGUUCACACUGUGACGUUCCUUCUGGGUUCCAUAAGGGAUACAAAGGUGAUUUGAGCAUGCAUCUUGUCUUUAAGAACUCUGGCAUAGCAGGGAUACAAGUGCACACACAUGUGUAUGCAGACACACACACACGCACACGCUGUAUUAGUUCUGCUGCUGCUCUAACAACUUAUCACAAACACAGUGGCUUAAAACAAUGCAAACUUAGCAUCUUACACUCCUGGUGGCUAGCCAUCUGACCCAGGUCUCCUGGGUCUAACGUGAAGGUGGCGGCGCUGCUCUCCUUUCUGGAGAUUCUGUUCUCCUGUGCUUCCCGGCUUCUUCCUGCCCCUGGGCUGGUGGCCCCUUCGUCUGUCUCUGACCCUUCCAUGCUCACACCUCUCCGUGCCCACAUCGGGGAAAGGAUCCCCACUUUAAAGGCUCGUGUGAUUAGAUUGGGCUCACCUGGAUAGUCCAGAAGAAUUUUCCCAUCUCAACCUUGAUCACAUCUGCAAAGUCCCUUUUGCCAUGGAAAGUAACAUAUUCAUGGGUUCCAGGGAUUAGGAGAUGGCCCUAUUUUGUCAUAUUUUGCUGGAGGCGGGGAGGAUAUUAUUCUGCCUACCAUAAACAUAUGUACACACAAAUAGUAACAAUAAGUGUAAAUUUAUGUUUGUAUAUGUAUAAACAAUUACUAUAAUACAACAUAGAUGAGUGACUUAUUGGAGCUCCUGCCUGGGGAUGUAUUCCAGAUCUGGGUUGGAGAGGUGGGGCAGUGUGCAUAGGGGAUGAGUUUGCAAAAGCACGCACUCAAUAACAAUGAAGUAUGGCAUAUAUCUCUAUAUCAUACCUUCAUAUCUAUCAAUCAUCUAUCUACCUAUUUUUAUUUUAUUUUAUGUAUUUUUUUUUUUUUUUUUAGUGACAGGGUUUCAAUCUGCAGUGGCAACAUCUCUGCAACCCUGAACUCCUGGGCUCAAGCGAUCCCCCUGCUGCAGCAUCCGGAGUAGCCAGGACUAUAAGCACACGCCACCACACCCAGCUAAUUCUUAAUUUUUAAAGGUUUUUGGUACAGACAGGAAUCUGUGUUUUCAGUGUUACUCAUAAGAAGUCAUAGUUGAGAAACAGUGACUGCUCUGUGGGCGCUUGGGAGUUGGAAAGUCUUGGAGAGGAGGGUCCUUGGAGGAUGUGAAGCUGGGCAUCCAAGGAUGGGAGGGUUUUGCAGAUGGGAGGUCAGGCUAGGUAGGAAAAGACAUCACAGGCAGGUACGAGGAUCCCUGAGUCUGUCAGUCAGGUUGCAGGUGGGGGCUUUAUAAGGAGCAGGUAACUGGCAAAUCACGGAGGUCAGGGCCCCUGCAAAGGGUGUAGGCCUGGGGCAGCGUUCAGAGAUGCAGAGCAGAGCAGGACACGGAAAUACCCAGGACUGUCCGAGGAGCAGAGCACAGCAGCAGCAGAGAUGGGGUGGUUGGUGGGUGUGGGGAGGACUCAGCCCUGCUGUGGGCACAAAGGUGGGGAUGGAGGAGGGUGGGCACCAAGGCUGGUCCUGAGGCAGUAGAGGGUGGGUGGGUCCCUUCCAGAAAUGUCCAGCACGGGGCAUCCUUAUCCAAUCCCACAUCAGUAGGCUCAGCGCCACCCUGGACUCAUUGGAAAUGCAGAUUCUCAGGCCCUGCCCAGCCCUCCUGAAUCAGAAAUGCUGGGGAGGUGCCCCAACAUCUGUGUUCUCACAGGCCCCAGGGGAUUUUGUGGCGCUCAAGUUGUGGAGCCACUGUCCUAUUGUGUUUUCCUCCCUCCCAGUCACUCCUCUUCCUUCUCCUGAGCUUGUCCUCCCCAGUGGUGGUCAAGGCUGGGUCUCCAUGUGUCUCACACUCAGCUGUCUUCCCAUUGUGACAGGCCAUGGUGAGCCUCUGUGGCUUCUGAGAAGUCACCCAGAUGACUCAAAGUUAAAUCACCUGCUUUGCAGCAGAGCCAGGGGGCGGUGGGGGCAUCACUCUUUGACAACAGGAAGGGCUGUUAAACAAAGGCUGGUGGCCAGGAGUUCCCCUACUUCCCAAGAGUUCGAGGAAAUAACUUCCUUGCAGUGUCAGGGAUUCAGGGAGAGGAAACAGACUCCCUUCUAGCGUGUGAUGUCAACACAGGAGUGACAAUGGGCUUCCCACCUCCAAUGUCCCUAAAGCGGGUGCUCAUCCACUGCGACCCUGUCUCAGGGUGGGGAAAUGGACAGGUGGCUUCGUGCAGCCCUGCACCCUUCCAAGCAUCUUGUCAGCUCCAUUCCUGUCUGGAAUAUUCCAAGAGGACCUUAUAAGAUUGAGAAUGAGGGUCUCCUUAUAAAUGUAAACCUCACUCAGGCUGCAGCAGAAACCUACGGGGAGGCCAAAUAAACUGGGGGCUCUGUGGAUUGUAUGUCCCCCCGGCUUGUCGAGGUGAGGAACAGUUUCACUCCUGGGCUGUGCCACCCGGUGCCGAGGGUGAGCUGGGCCAGGAAUGUAACAAUGAUGGGACGAGAAUAGGGAAACAAAGCUGAGUUUCUGUAGAAAGUGUUAUCUAUGAGGUCUUUCACUUUAUUUUCUAAUUUGCAAAGAUACUUCUGAUUUUCCUGCUGUCAGCCAUCAAUAUCUUCCUCAGAUGUUCUUUUUCCAGCUCGAGAGAACAAAGGGCAUUUGAGGCAAAGAUUGAACCUAGGAACAGAGAGGAAUGUAUGGUGCAUGAUCUGCCUGGGCCUGAGUAGACGGACCUCAGCACAGUGGUGGAGACUGGGUUGUGGGCACAGACAGCAGAAGAUGGAUAAGGACAAGGGUCUCUGGGUUGGCUGCUGGCUCCACCACUUAGCUGCGUGUCAUCCCUGGUGAGAGAUUGGACAGGAGAGAAUGAGGUUGUCCAUGUCUCCAGGACCCAUCCCCAUCUGAAACCACUGUCUCCUGUGGCUGUGACACAGGCAGCCUCCCUGGCCUGUCCCUGCUCUGAUGGGAAGACUUGGUGCAAAAAGGGGUGCAGGCUCCUGAUGUUUUUUAAGUGAACUUAAAAAAAAUCAUGGUAAAAUACCUAACAUAAAAUUUACCAUUUUAGCCCUUUUUAAGUGUACAAUUCAGUGGCACUAAAGACAUUCAUACUAUUGCCUAACUACCACCAUUAUCCAUCUCCAGAACUUUUUUUUAUCUUGCAGAACUGAAACUCUGUACCCAUGACACACCAACCCCCUCCCUCCCUUCUCCUCUCAUCUCCUGGUAACCACGAUUCCAUUUUCCGUCUCUAUGAUUUGAUUAUUCUCAGUAACUCAUGUAAAUGGAAUUAUACAGUAUUUGUCCUUUUGUGUCUGGCUUAUUUCAUUUAGCAUAAUAUCCUCAAGGUUCAUCUAUGUUGCAGCAUGAGUCAGAAGUUCAUUUCUUUUUAAGGCUGAAUAAUAUUUCAUUACAUGUAUGUACCACAUUUUAUUCAUCUAUCGAUGGACAUUUGGGUUGUUUCUACUUUUUGGCUAUUGUGAAUAAUGAACACUGUUGUGCAAAUAUCUGUUCAAGUCUUUGCUUUCAAUUUUCUAAUGUAGAUAUCCAGAAGUGGAAUCGCUGUAUGAUGUAGUAAUUCCAUGUUUAAUUUUUCAAGGAAUUACCAUGCCACAGACACUGUACCACUUUAUAUUCCUACUAGCAAUGCACAAGUGUUCGGAUGUUUCCAAAUCCUUGACAACGCUUCUUCUUUUCUUUCUUUCUUUUUAAAAAAUAUUUGGUAUCCUAUCCUGUACAUAGGAAUGGGCAAAGAUUUUAUGACAAAGACACCAAAAGCAAUCGCAACAAAAGCAAAAGUUGACAGAUGGGAUCUAAUUAAACCUAAGAGCCUCUGCACAGCAAAAGAAACUAUCAACAGAGUAAACAGACAACCUACAGAAUGAGAGAAAAUAUUUGCAAACUAUGCAUCUGACAAAGGUCUAAUAUCCAGCACCUAUAAGGAAUUUAAACAGAUUUACAGAAGAAAAACAACCCCCUUAAAAAUUGGGCAAAGGACAUGAACAGACACUUCUCAAAAGAAGACAUACAUGCGGCCAACAAGCAUAUGAAAAAAAGCACAACAUCACUGAUCACUAGAGAAAUGCAAAUCAAAACCACAGUGAGAUCCCAUUUCACACCAGUCAGAAUGGCUAUGAUUAAAAAGUAAAAAAAAUUAAUAACAGAUGCUGGCACGGUUGCAGAGAAAAGGGAACUCCUAUGCUCUGUUGGUGAGAGUGCAAAUUAGUUCAACCAUUGUAAAAAGCAAUACGGCGAUUCCUCAAAGAGCUAAAAACAGAACUACCAUUCGACCCAGCAAUCCCAUUACUGGGUAUAUACCCAGAGGAAUAUAAAUCAUUCUACCUUAAAGACACGUGCACACGAAUGUUCACUGCAGCACUGUUCACAUGGAAUACUGUUCACAUGCACACAUAGCAAACACAUGGAAUCAACCUAAAUGCCCAUUAAUGACAGAUUGGAUAAAGAAAAUGUGGUACAUAUACACCAUGCAAUACUACGCAGCUAUAUAAAAGAAUAAGAUCAUGUCUUUUGUGGGAACAUGGAUGGAGCUAGAGGCUAUUAUUCUUAGCAAACUAACACAGGAACAGAAAACCAAAUACCACAUGUUCUCACUUAUAAGUGGGAAGUAAAUGAUACGAACUCAUGAACACAGAAGGAAAUGACAGGCGCUGGGGUCUACUUGAGGGUGGAGGGUGGGAGGAAGGAGAAGCAGAAGAGAUAACUAUUGGGUACUGGGCUUCAUAUCUGGGUGAUGAAAUAAUCUGUACAACAGACCCCCAUGACACACCAGUUUAUUUAUGUAACAAACCUCCACAGGUACCCCCGAACCUAAAAUAAAAGUUUUUUUUUUUUUUUAAAGAAAGGAAUGGAAAAAAAGAAACCCACUAGGUAUCCUGAUGGUUGAAAAGCGGUAGUAAAUCGUGGUUUUGCUUUGCAUUUCCCUAAUGGUUAGUGAUGUUGCAGGUCUUUUCAGGUCCUUACGGGCCAUCUGUAUGCCUUCUUUGGAGAGACAUCUGUUCAAGUCCUUUGUCCAUUUUUGAGGCUGGCCUCUGAUUUUAGUUCCAGAUGCAAGACUGGCUAGUUGAGCCAAAAGAUCCCAGUUUCCUUUAAUUUUUUUUUCUUUUUAACUUUUACUUUGAGAUGAAGCCACUUGUUCCUGUAACUGGCUGGACGAAGUUAUGCUUAGACAAAGAUGUUUCUGCAGUGUGAGUGAAUGGCAGGCUACUAUAGUUCUGUCUCUGUGGGGAUGGGGGCAUUCAGCUAUUGCGUUUCAUUGCCUCCCAGGUGUACCCACAGAGACUAUGAUUUGCUUUAGCCAAUGCCUCCCCCCUUGCAACUGGAGCAAAAGGGAGAUUUUGUAGGCUUGGGAAGUAAGUGGUUGAAACUGCUGAAGUAUACAGCUGUGGUUAUCAAGACAGAACGGCCAAGGCAGAGGGAGGUGGCUGGAUGUUUGCUGUAGGCCUAAGUCUUGGCUUUGAGAACAAUAUGGAAGAAAGUCUUCAACCUCUUGGUUCUCACUCCCGGCCAGUAGGCACGUAUUCAUGCUGUUUGUUGUCAGGAAGAUUUUGGGAACGUUCUAUGGUUGUUUAAAUGGGUUGCAGCAUAUUUUAAAACUGGACAUUAUGGUGUGGCAUACUGAUCGUGAGGGAGGCUUAUGUGGGGUGGCGGGGACAGGGAGUACAUGGAAACUUUCUGUGCUUUUUGCUCGGUUUUGCUGCGAACCUAAAACUGCUUUAAAAAUAAAGUAUAUUAAAAAAGAAAGGGCUUUAGUGCCAAAAUAACAAAAAUAUAAAGAUUGUGUCAUAAAUUAAGGAGUAAUAUAAAACAUAUCUUUGGAGAGGUUUGGCUUUCAUAAAUAAGGCUUUAUUGUCAAAGCUAGAUUAAUAUUUAUUGUUAUUUAAUAUUUAUUGCUCAGCCUUGCAUUCUGGGAGUUAGAUAUCUGUAUACUAUAUACAGUAAUUGAAUAAAACCCCAUAUCACAGGUCAUUCACUUGUCUGUGUAUGUGUCCAUAUACGCAUGCACACACACACAACACACAUGCACACACAUUCAUGGGUGUCCUGCACGCAGGACUGGGGAGUCAUGAGGGCUUCAAGGCAACAAGUGCUUGUUGAAUGUGGACUGUGGCAUGGAUAAGGUUGUUGUGUGUUUUCUGACUAUGAAAUCUGCCCCUACUUCUCCUUAACUAAGUUUAUUUUGCUUUGAUGAGCAUCCUGCCUUCCACUGCCCCAACCACUGGGGUUGCUUGGGCCCCCCACAUCUUCCUACAUGCAUGGCCUCUCUUCAAGUUCUUAACCUCUGCAACUCUUAUCACAAGAUCAUGCCCCACUUCUUGAAAUGAUCUUGGCUUCUGGGACACCAUUUUUUCUUGAUUUCCUUUUUCUUUCUCUGAUUCUUCCUGCCUGAUCCCCCUGUAUUGGUCGGAUGGCCCACUAAGAUGUGGCAAUUUAAGAGUAGAAUUUAGGAAAGGUACUAUUACAAAGCUGGGGGCAGGGUUUAGGUUGUUGCAACACCCCAGGUCUAGAGACAGUGGGGAGAACUUACCAGUGCUCUGUCUGAAGGGCCAAGGGGAGGCAGCCAUUAUCAUCAGCAGAACCUGGGGAGAGAGCUGGAUGGAGCAGGUGCAUCUCCUAACAGGUGCUGUUGCCUCAGGGUAGAGAGAUGCUGCCUGCCUGAAGCAAGCAAGCAGGGAGGGGCCGGGGAUAAACACCCUCCUCCCUCCUUGGCAUGUCUUCAUGUGCUCCCGCUUCAUGGGGCUGGGAGGCAGGGAGUCAUAAAUGCAUUUUGUAGGUCGGUGUCCUGGGGCAAAGGGCAGAGAAGAAAAGCAGGAAGGGUGGGUCUGCGGGUCCACACAGAGGGUGUCCAGCUUGCACCACAUCUGUUAUGGGCUGAAUCGUGUCCCCCAAAAUCCAUAGGCUGAAGCCUCAAACCUCAGCACCUCUGAAUGUGACUGAAUUUGGAGAUAGGGUCUUUCCAGAGGUAAUUAAGAUAAAAGAAGGUCAUGGGGUGGGCCCUAAUCCAAUCCGGCUGGUGUCCUUAUAAGAAGAGAUUAGGACACACACAGAGGGAAGACCGUUUGAAGACCUGGCGAGGAAAAGAGGCCACCUGCAAGCCAAGGAGAGGGGCCUCAGGAGAAACUAACUUUGCCGGCACCUUGAUCUCAGACUCGUAGCCUCCACAAGUGUGAAAAACUAAAUGUGUAUUGUUUAAGCCGCCCAGUCUGCAGACUUUGUGAUGGCAGCCCUGGUGGAUGAAUUCACUGCUUAAGUUUGCAGGCACCCCCUACGCUUUCUUCCCUCACCUUGCUUCAUUCUUCUGCUGCAUGUAUUACUGCUGGCUGUGCCCAGCGCUUCAUUCCUGUCUUUCUCUGUCUCCCGAGGCUGUUCCCUUCCAGUCAGCCUCCUGCGGGUGGGCUGUCUCAUCCUUCCUGCCGCAGGCCCGGUGACUAGAACAGCACCUCACAUACAAAAGGUGCUUGGCCAUGGCGGGCAUUUGUUUAAUGAAAGAAAGUUUUCCAAAUCUCUUCUUUCUAAUGUUCUUCUCUGGUUUCUUCUCCUCUGCUCACCUCUUAACUCCAAGGCCUCAUCUCAGCUACACUUGGGGAUAUUUUCCACUCCCUGCAUGGACCCAGAGUCCGGCUGAGGUCAUGUGGCGAGGUCAGAUAUUCUGAAAGUUAAUGCGUCCCCACUUUUGAGUGCCCCUUCUGGGUAGGCCAUUCCAAGAGGGGCUUAUAGGAAGUGCAAGGGAGACGGGCUUGAGCUGAGUUGGACGCACAGUGAGGGAUAUGUGUGUGAGAGACAGAGAGAGAGAGGGAGAGGGGAGACAGAGAGACACACAGAGAGACAGAGACAGAGAGAGACAGAGACAGAGAGACAGAGACAUAGGGGAACACAGGCAGAGAGAGACAGAGACAGAGAGACAGAGACAUAGGGGAACACAGGCAGAGAGAGACAGAGCUACAGAGAGAGACAGAGACAGACAGAGACAUAGGGGAACACAGGCAGAGAGAGACAGAGCUACAGAGAGAGACAGAGGCACACAGAGAGAGACAGAAGCACACAAAGAGAGACAGAGACCAACAGAGCAUUGACACAGGUCCACAGAGACAGAGCUAGAGACAGAGAGAGCGUGCACGGCGCACAUGUAUAUAAAGCCUGUGGGGCGCCUUUUCUUUUCACAUAGUGUGAUCCAGUCCUAUCAAUUACUAGGAUAUUGGCAUUUGUGAUCAUUGCGUCGUCUGGAAUUUUUUUCUGGAAAAAAGAGGAAACACAGCCAUCUGCCCAGAGCCAUCCAGAAUAUGUCCCAGAGGCCUGUCUGUGUGUACGCGCACUCAGAAGCCUGGGGGCCCUUUCCUUGUCUAAAUGUAGCUCCCCCACCGCGUCCCACCCCUGCACAGGAGCGAGGCCUGUGUCAACUUCAGCAGAGCGAGAAUGAGGACAGGCCCAGGGGCAGGGAACUGGACGAAGGGAGUUGGAGGCCUUUUCUUGGGAAUGGGUGGACCAUUGCCCUGCAUGGGGACAGGGACGGCACUGGUGGGGGAAGGAAAUCUUGAGCUGGUUUCGGCCUUGACCCUCAGCAGCUAGCCCCGGGAGCUCUCAUUCUCUGGACGCCAGGGCCUUGGGUUCCUUGGAUGAGGUGAGCAUGAGCAUGUGGGGUAAGUGUUCAUGUUUGUGCAUGUAUGUGUCUGUAUGAAAGAGAGUGAGAAUACGAGAACAUGCCUGUCCUGACUCACAGAGUUGGUGAAAUAAAAUCAAAGACCCAAUGAAAAAGCUCUUGAAAAGGUAAGAGGUCUGCCCAGAGCCAAGGUUUGUUGCCGAUCCUGGGAUUAGCUGACUUCUGGGCAUUUGGAGCCUGCAGCCGUCUGGACAUGAUCUGGGGACAAGUGGAGGCCAAGAACUGAAUAUCAGAGAGAGUCUCAGAGAGAAGGAAUGUGGACUAUGGCAGGUUGCCAGGGAUCACUCAUGCACACGGAUGUUUUGUUUCAUUUUUUAGAAACUUUGGGAGAGGAAAUAAGGGGGAGAAAAUGUAGAAUAUAUUGCAUUUCAGAACUUAGGAUGCCAACAACAAAUUGUACAACUGCUGAAGCUUAUUAUGGGGGUUUGUUAACAUGUGAACUUAAAUGCACCAAUCCUAUCCCUUGCCUCCAUUCAUUUAACUGUUUAAUAAAUAUUUGUUGAAUGCCUAAGAUUGAUUAAUUAAUUCAGCCAAUCACAGAUACUAUCACCCUCUUGCUGCAUACAUAGCAUUGUGCUAGAGUUGAUAUAAUGUCUAACAUGUUUGAGGAAUUAUUUCAUUCUGGAAAUUAUUCUUUCCACCUCUUCAGCAUCCUAGGAGAACUCCAAAUAAACCUUAGCAUCUUAUUUCAAUAUUUUUACAUCACUUGUUUAAAAUUUCUUAAAACCAAACCGGGUUUAUUUAUGUCAAAGUAUACGCAAAAUGUAUGUGCACGAGAGAUGCCAUCUGCAAAUAUAAAAGUCUGUAAACCAAGUCCCUGCCCAUGAUGGGGUGACACAGGGUGGAAAGCGUGUGCAGGCUUGCAUUCUUAUAAAUAUGGAUGAAAUGCACAUUCAAGAAUGGUUUGGAAAUGAUUAUUUCCUCCAUUUGUUGGCCAAAUGUACCAAAUCCUUAUCUUGGCCUCUUCCUUCUUUUGUUUGGAAAGCCCCACGUUGUCCUUGUCAACUUCCUCACUCAUGCUGGUCUCUGGAAUGAAUUGUUCCACCUCUCCCUGGGCUAUUCACUGCAACCAAGGACAUCUUAGCAAUGUGAUAUAUUUUCCCCUCUCCGAAGUCAAAUAGAUGUUUUAUAUCCAAUGGGCCAGAUUGUGCAGGAGCUUGUCUUCACCCCCACAGGCCACAGGCUGGAGCCUUCCUGGAACAGAGGCUACAUUGGCUGUCUUUUGACAAAG